GGAUAGAAAAAGUGAUGACUAAGCCACGUUACAAGCGUGAGCGAGACGUGCCCGGUGGGUUCAAAGAAGACGCUGCCGACGGACCAAGGAACAGGGCUCACACAGCACCGAGGAAGGCUGGACAUUGCAUCGCUCUGUACACUUGUGGUGUGAUCUGAAUCACGAUGCCCCGAGGGUGCCUCAGUUAGGCUUUUAGUCUCCCAAGGACUUCGGUAGCCAUACCAGGUAAAAGCAGUAUACAUUACUGUAAUAUGCUGCUGUGUUUAAAUGUAGAAAAAUGUCUUGGGCUCUGGCUAAAGCAGAGGUGACUGUGUCUUCCGCGAUGGUACCCUGAAAAAGGCCAACUAGGGCAUCCCUGCUGAUGCACCUUAAAUUCCAUCUCCUGGGAAAUGAAGACCCCAACAUGUAGAUCUGGGAUCCCCCUUCUAGAUGUUCUCAAGAAACCCAGUUGCUUUGCUGGCCUUGGGGAUGUCAGGAUGAACUUUGAAUCUAUCCAGUCAACGUUCAGUUGGAGAAUAAAUUUUUCCCUCCUG